rnacentral:rRNA from 1 species
UACGUAGGGGGCAAGCGUUGUCCGGAUUUAUUGGGCGUAAAGCGCGUGUAGGCGGCCAUACAGGUCCGUUGUGAAAACUCGAGGCUUAACCUCGAAGACGUCGAUGGAAACCGUAUGGCUAGAGUCCGGAAGAGGAGGAGUGGAAUUCCUGUGUAGCGGUGGAAAGUGCGCAGAUAUCAGGAAGAACACCCGUGGCGAAGGCGGCGUCUCUGGGACGGUACUGACGCUGAGACGCGAAAGCGUGGGAGCGAACAGG